rnacentral:rRNA from 1 species
UACGUAGGGGGCGAGCGUUGUCCGGAAUUAUUGGGCGUAAAGAGCGUGUAGGCGGUUCGGUAAGUCUGCUGUGAAAUCCUAGGGCUCAACCCUGGGCGUGCAGCGGAUACUGCCGGGCUAGAGGGUGGGAGAGGCGGGUGGAAUUCCGGGUGUAGCGGUGAAAUGCGCAGAUAUUCGGAGGAACACCAGUAGCGAAGGCGGCUCGCUGGGCCACACCUGACGCUGAGACGCGAAAGCGUGGGGAGCGAACAGG